UGCCCUUGGCCCACACUGUGGGAAAUGGUUUUCUUAGCCUGGCAGUAAAUGGUCUGGGUUUCACUUUCACCACCAGGUCCUGGGAUGCUGGCUUUGUGAAAUCUGCUUGUCCUGAGAAUGGAAAGCGAAACUUGAUGAAGAUUCUGAGGCCCUGGGAUGUCAGAAGACUUUCUAAACAGUGUGACGCAGCUUGAAAGUGGCAAUGCUGGACACCAAAAGCAGAUAUUCUGACUCCAGAGCCUUUUUUUUUUUAAAUAAU